rnacentral:rRNA from 1 species
UACAGAGGGCACGAGCGUUGUCCGGAAUCACUGGGCGUAAAGGGCGCGUAGGUGGCCACUAUAAGGCCGCGGUGAAAGUUCGGGGCUCAACCCUGAAUCUGCCGCGGCGACUGUAGGGCUUGGGCACUGUAGAGGCAGAUGGAAUUCCGGGUGUAGCGGUGGAAUGCGUAGAGAUCCGGAAGAACACCAGUGGCGAAGGCGGCUCACUGGCCCGGUACUGACGCUGAGGUGCGAAAGCGUGGGGAGCAAACAGG